rnacentral:rRNA from 1 species
AUGGCCCAUCAGCUAGUUGGUAGGGUAAAGGCCUACCAAGGCUACGACGGGUCGCUGGUCUGAGAGGACGACCAGCCACACUGGCACUGAGAUACGGGCCAGACUCCUACGGGAGGCAGCAGUGAGGAAUAUUGCGCAAUGGGGGAAACCCUGACGCAGCAACGCCGCGUGUGGGAAGAAGGCCUUCGGGUCGUAAACCACUUUUGCACGGGACGAAAAAGGGAUAUCGAACAAAUAUCCCCCGAUGACGGUACCGUGAGAAUAAGCCACGGCUAACUCUGUGCCAGCAGCCGCGGUAAGACAGAGGUGGCAAGCGUUGUUCGGAAUUACUGGGCGUAAAGAGUCUGUAGGUGGUUU